rnacentral:snRNA from 1 species
GUGCUCACUUUGGAAGCACAUAUACUAAAAUUGGAACGAUGCAGAGAAGAUUAGCAUGGCCCCUGCACAAGGAUGACACACAAAUUCGUGAAGCAUUCCAAAUUUUU